UAGGGAAUCUUCCACAAUGGACGAAAGUCUGAUGGAACAACGCCGCGUGAGUGAAGAAGGGUUUCGGCUCGUAAAACUCUGUUGUUAAAGAAGAACAUAUCUGAGAGUAACUGUUCAGGUAUUGACGGUUAUUUAACCAGAAAGCCACGGCUAACUACGUGCCAG
rnacentral:rRNA from 1 species